rnacentral:rRNA from 1 species
UUAUCGUUUAUUUGAUAGUACCUUACUACUUGGAUACCUGUGGUAAUUCUAGAGCUAAUACAUGCUAAAAACCCCGACUUCGGAAGGGGUGUAUUUAUUAGAUAAAAAACCAAUGCCCUUCGGGGCUCCUUGGUGAUUCAUAAUAACUUCUCAGAUCGCAUGGCCUUGCGCCGGCGACGGUUCAUUCAAAUUUCUGCCCUAUCAACUUUCGAUGGUAAGGUAUUGGCUUACCAUGGUUUCUACGGGUAACGGGGAAUUAGGGUUCGAUUCCGGAGAGUUAGCCUGAGAAACGGCUAACACAUCCAAGGAAGGCAGCAGGCGCGCAAAUUACCCAAUCCUGAUACAGGGAGGUAGUGACAAUAAAUACUGAUACAGGGCUCUUUUGGGUCUUGUAAUCGGAAUGAGUACAAUUUAAACCUCUUAACGAGGAACAAUUGGAGGGCAAGUCUGGUGCCAGCAGCCGCGGUAAUUCCAGCUCCAAUAGCGUAUAUUAAAGUUGUUGCAGUUAAAAAGCUCGUAGUUGAACCUUUGGCCUGGCUGGCAGGUCCGCCUCACCGCGUGCACUUGUCCGGCCGGGCCUUUUCUUCUGGAGAACCGCAUGCCCUUCACUGGGUGGUGUUGGGGACCAGGACUUUUACUUUGAAAAAAUUAGAGUGUUCAAAGCAGGCCUUUGCUCGAAUAUUACAGCAUGGAAUAAUAAAAUAGGAACGUGCGGUUCUAUUUUUGUUGGUUUCUAAGGACCGCCGUAAUGAUUAAUAGGGACAGUCGGGGGGCAUCAGUAUUCAAUUGGUCAAAGGUGAAAUUCUUGGAUUUUAUUGAAGACUAACUACUGCGAAAGCA